UUAAGCGACUAAGCGUACACGGUGGAUGCCCUGGCAGUCAGAGGCGAUGAAGGACGUGCUAAUCUGCGAUAAGCGUCGGUAAGGUGAUAUGAACCGUUAUAACCGGCGAUUUCCGAAUGGGGAAACCCAGUGUGUUUCGACACACUAUCAUUAACUGAAUCCAUAGGUUAAUGAGGCGAACCGGGGGAACUGAAACAUCUAAGUACCCCGAGGAAAAGAAAUCAACCGAGAUUCCCCCAGUAGCGGCGAGCGAACGGGGAGCAGCCCAGAGCCUGAAUCAGUGUGUGUGUUAGUGGAAGCGUCUGGAAAGGCGCGCGAUACAGGGUGACAGCCCCGUACACAAAAAUGCACAUGCUGUGAGCUCGAUGAGUAGGGCGGGACACGUGGUAUCCUGUCUGAAUAUGGGGGGACCAUCCUCCAAGGCUAAAUACUCCUGACUGACCGAUAGUGAACCAGUACCGUGAGGGAAAGGCGAAAAGAACCCCGGCGAGGGGAGUGAAAAAGAACCUGAAACCGUGUACGUACAAGCAGUGGGAGCACGCUUAGGCGUGUGACUGCGUACCUUUUGUAUAAUGGGUCAGCGACUUAUAUUCUGUAGCAAGGUUAACCGAAUAGGGGAGCCGAAGGGAAACCGAGUCUUAACUGGGCGUUAAGUUGCAGGGUAUAGACCCGAAACCCGGUGAUCUAGCCAUGGGCAGGUUGAAGGUUGGGUAACACUAACUGGAGGACCGAACCGACUAAUGUUGAAAAAUUAGCGGAUGACUUGUGGCUGGGGGUGAAAGGCCAAUCAAACCGGGAGAUAGCUGGUUCUCCCCGAAAGCUAUUUAGGUAGCGCCUCGUGAAUUCAUCUCCGGGGGUAGAGCACUGUUUCGGCAAGGGGGUCAUCCCGACUUACCAACCCGAUGCAAACUGCGAAUACCGGAGAAUGUUAUCACGGGAGACACACGGCGGGUGCUAACGUCCGUCGUGAAGAGGGAAACAACCCAGACCGCCAGCUAAGGUCCCAAAGUCAUGGUUAAGUGGGAAACGAUGUGGGAAGGCCCAGACAGCCAGGAUGUUGGCUUAGAAGCAGCCAUCAUUUAAAGAAAGCGUAAUAGCUCACUGGUCGAGUCGGCCUGCGCGGAAGAUGUAACGGGGCUAAACCAUGCACCGAAGCUGCGGCAGCGACGCUUAUGCGUUGUUGGGUAGGGGAGCGUUCUGUAAGCCUGNAUGCUGGAGGUAUCAGAAGUGCGAAUGCUGACAUAAGUAACGAUAAAGCGGGUGAAAAGCCCGCUCGCCGGAAGACCAAGGGUUCCUGUCCAACGUUAAUCGGGGCAGGGUGAGUCGACCCCUAAGGCGAGGCCGAAAGGCGUAGUCGAUGGGAAACAGGUUAAUAUUCCUGUACUUGGUGUUACUGCGAAGGGGGGACGGAGAAGGCUAUGUUGGCCGGGCGACGGUUGUCCCGGUUUAAGCGUGUAGGCUGGUUUUCCAGGCAAAUCCGGAAAAUCAAGGCUGAGGCGUGAUGACGAGGCACUACGGUGCUGAAGCAACAAAUGCCCUGCUUCCAGGAAAAGCCUCUAAGCAUCAGGUAACAUCAAAUCGUACCCCAAACCGACACAGGUGGUCAGGUAGAGAAUACCAAGGCGCUUGAGAGAACUCGGGUGAAGGAACUAGGCAAAAUGGUGCCGUAACUUCGGGAGAAGGCACGCUGAUAUGUAGGUGAAGNUGGAGCUGAAAUCAGUCGAAGAUACCAGCUGGCUGCAACUGUUUAUUAAAAACACAGCACUGUGCAAACACGAAAGUGGACGUAUACGGUGUGACGCCUGCCCGGUGCCGGAAGGUUAAUUGAUGGGGUCAGCGCAAGCGAAGCUCUUGAUCGAAGCCCCGGUAAACGGCGGCCGUAACUAUAACGGUCCUAAGGUAGCGAAAUUCCUUGUCGGGUAAGUUCCGACCUGCACGAAUGGCGUAAUGAUGGCCAGGCUGUCUCCACCCGAGACUCAGUGAAAUUGAACUCGCUGUGAAGAUGCAGUGUACCCGCGGCAAGACGGAAAGACCCCGUGAACCUUUACUAUAGCUUGACACUGAACAUUGAGCCUUGAUGUGUAGGAUAGGUGGGAGGCUUUGAAGUGUGGACGCCAGUCUGCAUGGAGCCGACCUUGAAAUACCACCCUUUAAUGUUUGAUGUUCUAACGUUGACCCGUAAUCCGGGUUGCGGACAGUGUCUGGUGGGUAGUUUGACUGGGGCGGUCUCCUCCUAAAGAGUAACGGAGGAGCACGAAGGUUGGCUAAUCCUGGUCGGACAUCAGGAGGUUAGUGCAAUGGCAUAAGCCAGCUUGACUGCGAGCGUGACGGCGCGAGCAGGUGCGAAAGCAGGUCAUAGUGAUCCGGUGGUUCUGAAUGGAAGGGCCAUCGCUCAACGGAUAAAAGGUACUCCGGGGAUAACAGGCUGAUACCGCCCAAGAGUUCAUAUCGACGGCGGUGUUUGGCACCUCGAUGUCGGCUCAUCACAUCCUGGGGCUGAAGUAGGUCCCAAGGGUAUGGCUGUUCGCCAUUUAAAGUGGUACGCGAGCUGGGUUUAGAACGUCGUGAGACAGUUCGGUCCCUAUCUGCCGUGGGCGCUGGAGAACUGAGGGGGGCUGCUCCUAGUACGAGAGGACCGGAGUGGACGCAUCACUGGUGUUCGGGUUGUCAUGCCAAUGGCACUGCCCGGUAGCUAAAUGCGGAAGAGAUAAGUGCUGAAAGCAUCUAAGCACGAAACUUGCCCCGAGAUGAGUUCUCCCUGACCCUUUAAGGGUCCUGAAGGAACGUUGAAGACGACGACGUUGAUAGGCCGGGUGUGUAAGCGCAGCGAUGCGUUGAGCUAACCGGUACUAAUGAACCGUGAGGCUUAACCUU
rnacentral:rRNA from 1 species